UGAGAAAAGCUCAGUCGGUAGAGCACGAGACUCUUAAUCUUAGGAUCGCGGGUUCAAGCCCCACAUUGGGCAAAA